rnacentral:rRNA from 1 species
GAUGAACGCUAGCUACAGGCUUAACACAUGCAAGUCGAGGGGCAGCAUGGUCUUAGCUUGCUAAGGCCGAUGGCGACCGGCGCACGGGUGAGUAACACGUAUCCAACCUGCCGUCUACUCUUGGACAGCCUUCUGAAAGGACGAUUAAUACAAGAUGGCAUCAUGAGUCCGCAUGUUCACAUGAUUAAAGGUAUUCCGGUAGACGAUGGGGAUGCGUUCCAUUAGAUAGUAGGCGGGGUAACGGCCCACCUAGUCUUCGAUGGAUAGGGGUUCUGAGAGGAAGGUACCCCACAUUGGAACCGAGACACGGUCCAAACUCCUACGGGAGGCAGCAGUGAGGAAUAUUGGUCAAUGGGCGAGAGCCUGAACCAGCCAAGUAGCGUGAAGGACGACUGCCCUAUGGGUUGUAAACUUCUUUUAUAAAGGAAUAAAGUCGGGUAUGGAUACCCGUUUGCAUGUACUUUAUGAAUAAGGAUCGGCUAACUCCGUG